AUUGAACGCUGGCGGCAUGCCUUACACAUGCAAGUCGAGCGGCAGCGCGGGGGCAACCCUGGCGGCGAGCGGCGGACGGGUGAGUAAUACAUCGGAACGUGUCCUUUCGUGGGGGAUAACCAGUCGAAAGACUGGCUAAUACCGCAUGAGAUCUCACGAUGAAAGCGGGGGACCGCAAGGCCUCGCGCGAUUGGAGCGGCCGAUGUCGGAUUAGCUAGUUGGCGGGGUAAAAGCCACCAAGGCUACGAUCCGUAGCUGGUUUGAGAGAACGACCAGCCACACUGGGACUGAGACACGGCCCAGACUCCUACGGGAGGCAGCAGUGGGGAAUUUUGGACAAUGGGGCGAACCCUGAUCCAGCCAUGCCGCGUGUGUGAAGAAGGCCUCGG
rnacentral:rRNA from 1 species